rnacentral:rRNA from 1 species
UACAGAGGGUGCGAGCGUUAAUCGGAAUUACUGGGCGUAAAGCGCGCGUAGGCGGCUUUGCAAGCCGGAUGUGAAAUCCCCGGGCUUAACCUGGGAACUGCAUUGGUGACUGCAAGGCUUGAGUGUGUCAGAGGGAGGUGGAAUUCCGCGUGUAGCAGUGAAAUGCGUAGAUAUGCGGAGGAACACCGAUGGCGAAGGCAGCCUCCUGGGAUAACACUGACGCUCAUGCACGAAAGCGUGGGGAGCAAACAGG